rnacentral:rRNA from 1 species
UACGGAAGGCAGCAGUGGGGAAUAUUGCACAAUGGGCGCAAGCCUGAUGCAGCCAUGCCGCGUGUAUGAAGAAGGCCUUCGGGUUGUAAAGUACUUUCAGUCGUGAGGAAGGUGUUAAGGUUAAUAACCUUAGCAAUUGACGUUAGCGACAGAAGAAGCACCGGCUAACUCCGUGCCAGCAGCCGCGGUAAUACGGAGGGUGCGAGCGUUAAUCGGAAUUACUGGGCGUAAAGGGCACGCAGGUGGUUAAUUAAGUUGGAUGUGAAAUCCCCGGGCUUAACCUGGGAAUGGCAUUCAAGACUGGUUAGCUAGAGUCUUGUAGAGGGGGUAGAAUUCCGAUGUGUAGCGGUGAAAUGCGUAGAGAUGUGGAGGAAUACCGGUGGCGAAGGCGGCCCCUGGACAAAGACUGACGCUCAUGUGCGAAAGCGUGGGGAGCAAAC